ACGGGUGAGUAACACGUAUCCAACCUGCCGUCUACUCUUGGACAGCCUUCUGAAAGGAAGAUUAAUACAAGAUGGCAUCAUGAGUCCGCAUGUUCACAUGAUUAAAGGUAUUCCGGUAGACGAUGGGGAUGCGUUCCAUUAGAUAGUAGGCGGGGUAACGGCCCACCUAGUCAACGAUGGAUAGGGGUUCUGAGAGGAAGGUCCCCCACAUUGGAACUGAGACACGGUCCAA
rnacentral:rRNA from 1 species